GGGGCGACUCACCGUGGCGGACGCCAGGCUGUUGUCGGCCAGCGUUAGGUGGUGCGGCUCCCAGCGCCUCAGGAAUUUCGAGACCAGGCCCCGCACGAGGCUGGGAGAGAACCCUACUGGAAGCACCCUGGUGUCACCGAGGACCUCCAACUCUGCAACAAGGACAUGUCCUUUCUGUCUUCGGGAGAGGCACCUAAAGCCACCCAGCAAAUGCUCAGCUUCCCCGCCAGGCUUUCUCACAGCCACACACGUCUGCAGGAGCCCAGAAGACACAAAUCAUUAUCAUCCCCCUCUUAAAGGUGAGGAAGUUAAGGCUCAGAGAUGAUCAGACACCUGGUGGGAAUCCAGCCAAGUUUGAAGUGAGUGACACGGAGCCCCCAAGAUGCUGCAAGAAGAGUUCCAUGAAGGCAGAAGCCAACAGUUCCUGGCUCACGGCAGAGCUAGCUUAGCGCCUGCACGUGAUCAGGCUUAACAAGGUAAUCUCGAGGGUGAUCUCAAGUAACGAAGCACGGAUAAGGAGGACUUCUGUACUGCAGAUCCACUCACACAAGAUACUGCCCUCCCAGGGCUCAUAGGUCGUAGACAUUAAAUGAGAUCAUCAGCAUUGGGCUCACAGCCUGGCACAGAGCAGGUGCCCUGGAUCCGCGGUAGCCACCUGGCAUGGCUACUGUCAGUUUAGAACCGCGCUGACCCGGCCCCGAGCGCUGGCUUUCCAUCUAUUCCACUCGUCCAGACCUUCCCCACUUGCCCAGUGACUGGCACACUCUCACGACAGCAUCUCUGCAGGGUUUCCAGCCUUGGCACUAGUCAUGUUUGGGGCCGGACAGUCCUUCCUGGCAGGCAGCUGUUCUGUGCACCCUGAGGUACUUAGCAGCAUCCCUGGCCUCUACCCACACACACUAGUAGCAGCCACAGGCUGUGACAACCAGAAUGUCUCCAGACAGUGCCUCGUGUCACCUAGAAGGCUAAAUGACCCCCCAGUUGAGAACCUGUGGCUUGAAAGAAGAUGUUUUCCCGCCCUGCAGCUGGUACCUGCUGCUUCCCAGGCCUCCUGUGGGCUGCCGUCUGCGGGAGCUCAUAUUGUCCACGCCCAGGCAAUCCAUGUUCCUCCUCAGAUGCCACUUCCCCAGGGGCUGGAGCAGACACAGCUGGCUUCCUCAGGCUGUCAAGGAACACGGGGACCCACAGGAUAGAAGAAGUUGCAACCUGUUUGAAGUCGUGUUUUUGGAGCCUCUUUAAUGGCAUGAGCCCAUGCCUGUAAUAAAAUGCCAAGCACCAAAAGCAGGCAAGAAAAUUGUUCUUAAGUGGUCCCAAUUUCACACCUACCCAUGGCGCUAUUUCUUUUGGGGGAACUCUCCGGAAGCUUCGUCUGAAAACUCCGUCUCAAAAUUACAUCAGCCAGGAGAGCAUUCCCAAACCUCAUUUUUAACAGGCAUGAGACACCAACAUAAUGGAACACACACUCCAUCCUGGUGGCAUUUAAUGUACUGAUCAAAUAAUAAAAUGUGCUUAUUCUUCU